GAGGAGAGAGUUGAGAUGAGAAGAGCAGCCCAGAUGAGCAGCACUGUGGCCAGCCCAAUGUCAACAGUUGUCUCCUCAAGCAGUGGAAGAAAAUCGACCAGCUUUACUCCUGAAUUGCAGAGUAUGAUGUUUUCCCUGGGAGAUGCUCGAAGGCCACUCCAUGAAACUGCAGUACUGGUGGAAGACAUUGUCCACACUCAACUGAUAAAUUUGUUGCAGCAAGCAGCUGAAGUUUCUCAGAUGAGAGGAGCUCGAGUCAUCUCUGCUGAAGAUCUUCUGUUCUUAAUGCGCAAAGAUAAGAAGAAGCUUAGAAGGCUACUUAAAUACAUGUUUUUUCGAGACUACAAAUCUAAAAUUGUCAAAGGAAUAGAAGAAGAUGACCUCCUCGAAGACAAAUUCAACAGUAAUAACACCAACAAAAGACAGAAGCUUGCUCAAGACUUUCUCAACUCCAUUGACCAGACUGGAGAGCUCUUAGCCAUUUUUGAAGAUGAUGAGAUUGAUGAUGUCAAGCAAGAGCGAAUGGAGAGAGCAGAAAGACAAACACGAGCCAUGGACUCAGUCCAGUACGCAGAAUUCUGUGAAAGUCGGCAAUUGAGUUUUUCAAAGAAAGCAUCCAAAUUUCGUGACUGGUUGGACUGUAGCAGUAUGGAAAUAAAGCCAAAUGCAGUUGCAAUGGAGAUUUUGGCAUAUUUAGCAUACGAGACUGUGGCCCAGCUGGUGGACUUGGCCCUUUUGGUUAAACAGGACAUGGCUCCCAAGGCUGGUGACCCAUUCAGUCAUGCCAUAUCUGCCACCUUCAUACAGUACCACAAUUCUACUGAGCCACAUCUCUUAGGGCAAUCUACCAGUGUGAAGACCAGUCUUGACUCUCCUGAAAACACACCACCUCCUACACCCACCCCCCCAGCAUCAGCAGGACAGCAACACCUUGGGAAAACCCCAUCAGGAGCCUUGGGGAAUGGUGGAAUUGGACAGGACUCUACCAAAUCCAAACAAAGGAAAAGAAAAAAGAGCACUGCAGCCUGUGGUAUAGAGGCUCAAAGUGAUGCCAUCCAGCCCAGCCACAUCAGAGAGGCCAUUCGACGCUACGGCCACAAGAUUGGCCCCCUUUCCCCAUUCACAAUUUUCUCUCUCCCUGACAGAGUGCCUACCGCAGGAACGGGAUGACUUUUCUCGCCUGCUGAUGUGGAUGUGGCUGCAGCAACAGGAAAGACAGUGUUAUAUUAAGACUGAGGCUGAAGCACAUCUUGUCCCUUGAAACAGCCAUUGGUACCAAGCUGUCACAGUACUGCCUGCAGUCAGACAUAGCAAAACUAAAGUGUCAGAACUUCAUGUUACACACCACUCCACGUGGGAUUUCACAGAACAUGCUGUAGGCCAAGUUUUGAGUGCAGCUGGGCCAGUUCAUGGUUACAGAUGAGCACAGAUGAAACAGAACAAUUUCAACCUGAAACCAGGCAGAACACGUUGGCUUUGGCUGGAUGUGCUGGGAGUUAUGGAGUUUGUAGGAAACCAAAACUCAGAAGGGGAGAAGCCCACACAAACUAAAGCAAAAGCAGGGAUUUGCAGGAGUGCCUGCAAGCUGAACAUGCACAAUUGGGAAGGACUUGACAUCUGGCAAACAGACUGACCUUUGUGUCAAGGAUGAACAUGCACUGAAAGUCUGCAGGGAAACUCACAGAAUCCCAAACUUGCUAAAGUCUCCAACUUUUGCCAAGCUGCAAGGUGCAAGGUGUGAAGCCCAGGUGAGAUUUUGAUGUCACUCACAAUGGAUGUGGGUUUUUUUCUGGGCUGCUUCUGCUGUUGUGGGGUCCAAGAAUGUUCUUCAUCAUAACCAUUAAAAACAAAAGGAAAAUCCUGACUUCUUCAGUCAUUCUCAGGCCUGUAUGUACCUCAUGUUGUCUUUUCUUCAUCCAUCCAGAGUUCAAGAAGUGCUUGGAUAAUGCUGUCAGGCACAUGGUGUGAUUCUUGGUGUUGUCCUAUGCAGGGCCAGGAGUUGGACUUCAGUGUUCCUUUUGGGUCCCUCCCAAUUUAGGAUAUUCUAUGAUUCUAUUUAUUAUUUGCAGUAUUUGUCAUUUCAGAUAACCCACAUCUCACUUCCAGUUCUCACUUUAUUCCUGAAUUACUGGAUUACUAAUCUACAGCUGCUGGCACCCCAUUCUGCUCCUUUUAAGCAAUCUACUAACUCCUGAUAGUCAAGGCUGAUGAUCUAAUUUUAGUCCUGACAGUCCAAUUCAGUUUUCAGUCUUAACACUGAAACUCAGUGGAGCAGAAUCCACUAAUGGGACCCCUGUAUUAGUUAGCAUAGCACUUCCUAAAAUGCUAAAAGCACUGCUUAUAUUAAUUGUCCUGAAGACACUUGAGGUAAAUGGGAUGAAGAACAAGAAAUCAUAUUGAUAAACAACUUACAUGACCUUCUCAUAGAUGGCUUUUUGGCUGGAAAAAAGGAUUUCAUCCUUUUGCCAUGACCAAAAUUGUUGUACUCCAGAGAUACCCUUUGAUAUUCCAAAUCAUGCAACACACUUCCACAUGAAGGUCAAUAUUUAUUUCAACCCUUUCAUGUAAAUCUCUGAGCUGGGCAAAUUGCAAGUGAAGGAAGUAAAAGACUUGCAGGAAUCUGUUGUGAAAAGGCUGAUGAUUACAGCUGAGAUUCCUCCUGUAUGAGAACACCAUCCCUUGGUUGAUGGUGUGGCUGCAUCUUGGAACAUCAAGCACAGUGUUUAUGUAAAUCUGAGUGUUCUUCUGCUUGUUCUGCUACAAAAGCCAUUCUCCCUGGGACACAGAAGGAAAUCCAGUGAGACAAGGUAAUAGAGAUGGAAGACUGCUAAUGGAAAGAUUAGGUCUCUGGGCUGUCAGACUUGUCUCUCUUAAGCACAUGUUUAUGCUUUAAGUUAAAUAAUACAGCAUGUUUAUGCAUGUGAAUAUAUAUAUACUGCAUAUGUAUCUGAAUGUAUGAAUGGUAAGAUGCUGUUCUGUGCAAGAAAGUCACAUCAGACUAGUUUCACAUUUUUAUGUAUUAUAUUACAUUUCAUUACAUUUAUAUUACAAUGUAAAAGGUUUCUGCCUUUCCCCAGAAAACACAAUCUUAACAUUCAUGUGCUCGUGUUCAACAAGCCUGUACACACACAGGAUCUUGGAGAGCAAGUUGGUUUGGAUGUUACCAGAAUUUUCUUGCCCCGCAGAUGGUUUCUGUCUCCUAGCUCUGGAUAAAAUAUGUCCUUGCCAUUGCUUCAGUGCUGGAUUCAAGUCCUGUUGAGGGAAUCAGUGGGUCGGGGUUCCCACUACUCCUUGUCCUUUUGUUCCAUAAAAAAGUUUUAUAUGUUCCUGUCACUGUACUUAAUAAACAAUUUAAAAAAAAAACCCAAACCCAAUCCAUCCAAGUCUAUUCUACUUUACCAAGUCUAAUUUUCUUGCCCUUUGCAGACCUUGAUAUUACUUGAAGCAACCUGUAUUUGGUGCAACAUAACUGCACUUAAGAGAUCAGGUCUCUCCAUUUGUUUCUCUUUGUAGGAGUAAGGAUUUAUUUACUGUUUUGUGGCUGGUAACUCUGGGACAGAAAUACCUUUCUGUGUUUAUUUUCUAUGACAGUCUUUGUAAAGCUCUUUGGAGAUACUUUGUAGUCUUUGAAAAUAAUAGAAAGGGAAGGGAAGGAGUUGAUUUUGCUUCAUCUUCUUCAUUGUCUUCCCACUUCUUUUCUUCCACCUUGAGGGGAAGAGAGCACACUAAAGGAAGAGCUCAUGCCUCCCACUGAAGCCUUUACCUGAAAUGUGCCACAUCUGGUGGGUAUUUGUGGAAGCAAUGCAUGUCAGCAGAGUUUUCACAAUCGUGAGAGGAAAUGGCUGGGUUUAGAUGUGCUGAUUUUAUUGUAUAUUCUUGGAUAAGAUGAUAAAUACUGACAUACGAGGCCAGCAAGUCGAUUUAUUGAUUUCAAUUCUGCUUCUUCCUCUGUUCAGCUCUUCAUGUGUAUUUUUGGAUGAUCAGGGAGAGUUGGAGGAAAAAGAGAAAUUCCUCCUAUGCUUUUGGCAGAAUGGAACUAACUAAAAACCUGCUUGAAAAAUAUACAGAAAAAAUCUAACUCAAUAUCUGCUCUUUAUACUUAGGGAUCCCCAUAGUGGUGGCUGCCAGCUGGGGUCUGUUUUGCUGCUUUCUCCAGCAGUUCAACGCACUUCUCACUCCAGCACUGCCCAUCCUGUCUCCCUUGCAGCAAACCUUAAACUGUGAAUUAUGAUAGGAACUGAUAGGUAAAGGGGCAAUUUUCCGUGACAUUUCUAUUGACUAUAAGUGAAUUAAUCGCAGUCAACCCCGUGCAACAAUGUCAAAGACUAAAAAAAAAGACUACAGGCUUAAUCAGAAAACAAUUUACAGCUGAGUAAUUGCUGCUUUGAUACUACUGUCAUUACUCAUGAUAUUACACUGAGCAGUAUUUUGACUUUCAGAGGUUGCUGGCUGGCAGAGGCAUGUUGGGAUUCAACGUGAGCAGGAUAACCCCACCAGGGAUCUAUCAAUUAGAGCAGAGCAAAGCCCAGGAGUUCUCAAAAACAUCCAAAUUGGCCUGUUCAAGGCCCAGCAGUGUUUUUACGAAGGAAGGUGAAGUUGGGGAGUUCAGAAGAGCCUUGUUUGCCUUUGUAUUUGACAAGACAAGUAACUGGGAUUGUGCUUGGAAGUGGUGAAAGCAAGCUCCACAGGGAUUGUGGGCUUGCUCUUGCUGGAAAUGAAGUUUUUUUGGAAAAGUGAGGGAUGCAAUCAAAGUCAGAGGUUGGGUUUGUUCCACUAAAAUUGGGUUGCAAUCCCUGCUCGCUUGAGGAACUUUAUUGAUGUGAGUAGUCCCAUUGAGAGUACGAGUAUUUAUGUAGCUGAGAGAAACUAAUGAAAUGAAGUCAAGUGAAAAAGGGAUUGUUCACAUGCCCAAGAAUUGUAUGACAAGGGCCCUAAUCCAACCAUUGUGGUUUAGGGAUUUGCAAAAUUACUUAUUUUUGCUAUUGAGUCUAUGUCAGUUUUGCUAACUUUUCACACAUUCCAGGCUCUCUCCUGAAAUCUACCUUAUUUGCUCUGAAUUUCUUCUUCCAGGACAGACAUAGCAACAUACUGACCUAAUUCUUCAUGUUGUGCAGCUGUGUACUCACUGUUUUAAGAGAUAAAUGGAUAACAGUCUCUCCAUUCUCCAGUGUAAAUUGACCAAAGCCUCUUCAUGUCAAUGAAGCGACAUAUGAAGUUGUGAAAGCUGAGAGCCUGGGGCUAAAUGUUAACUGCAAAAAGACAAGGCAGCUAUUGCAUUGGACUUUCAAAAAUUAUUGUGACCAUACAGCAUUUUCAGGUAGAAAUGGUGAUCUAGUUGAAAAAAAGAACUAUGUCUGAGGUGAGAGGACUUUGUUGAUGUUCUCUGGGGUAUCACAAUACAGAUCUUGCGCUGCCCAGGGUCAUCAGUUGUUCAAAAUGAUUUUACUCAGCAGGGAUGUUUUCUGCCUUUUCAGAUAUUAAUUUUUUUUUAUUUUAUCAGGGUUAUAUUUUUGAAGGUGUCUGUACUCUCGUUGGCUGCUGGACAGCUGUAUCACAAGGAUUUCCCUCUGGUAUAGAACACAAAGCUCUUCUGUACCAGUGUGGAAUGCAGUAGCAAAUCACUGUACAGUGGCCCAUAAGGAUACCAGCUACCCUUAUAAACUUUUUAUAACUUAGGAAAAUAAACAUGUGGUUUCAGGGCUCUGCAUAGUCAGUACUAGCUGACUUGGAGCUUGCUUUACAAAGCUAAAAAAGAAAAUAUUGGUAGAGCUAAUAAAUUUCCGAGGGAAUCAGCAAAUAGUGUUCUGAAAGGUCUGAAACAUUUGAUGGUUUAUGGAUAACUUUGUAUUUUAUCUCUUGAAGCAUCAUCCAAGUUGAGCACUAAAGUGCAGUGUUCUCCAUAGUGAGUGCUGUUAUCUGGGAGCUCCCGUGGGACACCAGCCUCACAUCAAGUUAUCCAUGGAAAGACCUGCUAAUCCAGAGGAUGUGAUGUGCUCUCUGCAAGGCCAGCAGACGUGUCUCUCUCAGGGAGAAAAUAACUGGUUGUAGCAGCAGCAAGAAAGCAACCAGAUCUAUGCAGCUGCAUGAAAGGGUAAACUGUACUCUGGCUUUUGGGAGGCUUUCCUGGUGACACUUUCACUCCUUACCUCAGGUGAACAUUGCAGUGUGUCCUGCCAUGACCUACUGUCUGAAUUGUGGUCACAUCCAAGGAGAGGAGCAAGAGGCUAGACAGUCGGAACUCUCCCACACAACUUCCCUGGCACAGACCAGCAUCACCACUGAGCAUCUCCCUCCUCUGCUGCUGGUCCUGUCACACAGCUGGGCUUCAAAAGAGGAUGCUCCUCUCCCAUGUGCUUCAAAGAGAAACCAGGAGCCACAGAACAAUUACUCCCACUCACAAGACGAGGGGAAAUCCUCUUCUAACAAGGGAUCAUCCUGUUACAACGAGGAUGUCUGGUGAUUUAUGACUUGCUGCUUUAAACUCUCCUUCCCCUAUGAAGAAACACAGGAGACAGCAAAGCUGGAGGGAGAUACAAGAGAGAACUGACACUGGCAAUACUUGAAAUAUAGUGGGAGAGCUGGGAAAACCCUUUCUUUCUGUCCUCAUUAGCAUGACUUAAUUAAUACUUACAAUCUUAUCAAACAGAAGUUACCAUGCAGGAGGGAUGUGCAGGCUGGAAAUCAAAGCUUUAAUAAAUAGAUAUUUUAAGACCAAAAAA